GAAACAGGAGAGAGAAUGUCAGUACAAUGGCGACCGUGGCUGAGAAGGAUGUGAUGGAGAGUCGCGAAAAUCUCAGGACAUUGGGAUAGGAGUCCAACUGUGUUCUACAAAUGAGUCAAAUGUGCAAUGCUGGGUUGAUGACUGUCACUGCAAUCAAUCAGUUUACUUCUCUCCACCUUAGUUUCCUUUCCCCAAAUCUAAAGGACACCGAACCAUUCAUUCACAUCUAUCUGCAUCUACAACACUGGUCUCUCAAGUCCACGUGUACCUGUGGAGCUCUGGACUCUGCUUCACACCAGUGAAGAGAAGUGUGGAGCUGCAGUGAUGAUAAAUUACCUGAGGGCCCUGCCUGUGAUGGUUGCUCCAGACUGUCACUUAGAAAGGCCUUAGAGUCACCUAGGGAACACACCCCUGGGCAUUGUCUGUGAGGGAAUUUCCAAGAAGUUUAAGUGAAGAGGGAAGACACAGCCUGAAUGGCAUCAUCCCAUGGGCUGAGGAAAAAGCAAAAGCACUGAACACUAGUGUUCGUCUCUUGAAGCUUUCUGACAGCUUAGGCAAGUGAGAAGUCCUGCCACAGUGACUUCCCCACCAUGAUGGACUAUACCCUCACACCAUGGUCCAGACCAAACCUUCCCUUCUCUAAGUUGCUUUGGUCAGGUAAGAAGAUAAGGAACUGACACAAAACCCACUUGAAGUCUUUCUCCUGCUGCUGCGUAUGCCAGCCUUGCAAAGCCAAGAAUGCUGGGGUGUCCAUCAAAGGCAGUGCAGAUGCCUGCUCAUGGGGACAUUUCCCGUUCCAUUGAAAAUGAAAGCCUUUCAGUUUCGACACUGCAUGUUGGCACUCGGGUCAAAUUGGCAUCGGAUGGGCUGUAAUCUGGUAGACAGCUGAGAGUUGUCAUAGCCCAGUGCUUAGCAUUAUGGAGCAGCCGGCUCUGAGCCUUGAGUAUGGAUGUAAGCCCACGAGUCCCUAGGAUCUCUUUUUCCCAAUGGCCCUGUAGUGGGACAGGCACUGUAGACGCUACUAAAAUGGCAGUAACUAACGACGAGUGACUGUUGAAAUCUGUGGAACAGGUACUUUUCAUAAUGAUUUGAACGCUUCAGG
rnacentral:lncRNA from 1 species